GGCCUGGUGGUGUAUAGCGCACGUUUGCUGAAUAUCCCAAAUACUGAAUAUUCAUCAGUUGCGUUUCAUGAGCAGAGGGAUCUGGUUCGAAUCCAGACUAGGCCA